UGCCCCGUGGCUUAGUUGGUUACGGCGUCCGACUGUUAUUUACGACGACAUCGGAAGAUCGAGAGUUCAAGUCUCUCCGGGGCAG
rnacentral:tRNA from 1 species